ACACGUGGGUAACCUGCCUGUAAGACUGGGAUAACUCCGGGAAACCGGAGCUAAUACCGGAUAGUUCCUUGAACCGCAUGGUUCAAGGAUGAAAGACGGUUUCGGCUGUCACUUACAGAUGGACCCGCGGCGCAUUAGCUAGUUGGUGGGGUAAUGGCUCACCAAGGCGACGAUGCGUAGCCGACCUGAGAGGGUGAUCGGCCACACUGGGACUGAGACACGGCCCAGACUCCUACGGGAGGCAGCAGUAGGGAAUCUUCCGCAAUGGACGAAAGUCUGACGGAGCAACGCCGCGUGAGUGAUGAAGGUUUUCGGAUCGUAAAGCUCUGUUGUUAGGGAAGAACAAGUGCGAGAGUAACUGCUCGCACCUUGACGGUACCUAACCAGAAAGCCACGGCUAACUACGUGCCAGCAGCCGCGGUAAUACGUAGGUGGCAAGCGUUGUCCGGAAUUAUUGGGCGUAAAGGGCUCGCAGGCGGUUUCUUAAGUCUGAUGUGAAAGCCCCCGGCUCAACCGGGGAGGGUCAUUGGAAACUGGGAAACUUGAGUGCAGAAGAGGAGAGUGGAAUUCCACGUGUAGCGGUGAAAUGCGUAGAGAUGUGGAGGAACACCAGUGGCGAAGGCGACUCUCUGGUCUGUAACUGACGCUGAGGAGCGAAAGCGUGGGGAGCGAACAGGAUUAGAUACCCUGGUAGUCCACGCCGUAAACGAUGAGUGCUAAGUGUUAGGGGGUUUCCGCCCCUUAGUGCUGCAGCUAACGCAUUAAGCACUCCGCCUGGGGAGUACGGUCGCAAGACUGAAACUCAAAGGAAUUGACGGGGGCCCGCACAAGCGGUGGAGCAUGUGGUUUAAUUCGAAGCAACGCGAAGAACCUUACCAGGUCUUGACAUCCUCUGACAACCCUAGAGAUAGGGCUUUCCCUUCGGGGACAGAGUGACAGGUGGUGCAUGGUUGUCGUCAGCUCGUGUCGUGAGAUGUUGGGUUAAGUCCCGCAACGAGCGCAACCCUUGAUCUUAGUUGCCAGCAUUUAGUUGGGCACUCUAAGGUGACUGCCGGUGACAAACCGGAGGAAGGUGGGGAUGACGUCAAAUCAUCAUGCCCCUUAUGACCUGGGCUACACACGUGCUACAAUGGACAGAACAAAGGGCUGCGAGACCGCAAGGUUUAGCCAAUCCCAUAAAUCUGUUCUCAGUUCGGAUCGCAGUCUGCAACUCGACUGCG
rnacentral:rRNA from 1 species